ACCGCCCUGCCCGGAGCAGCGGGUCCCUGGGGGCAGUAGCUCCCGCUUUGCAGCCCGCGGGCUCUUGAAGGGAGCUCCGGAGGGUCCCGGCUCUGCCCCGCUCCUCCCACACAAGCCCCGGUGUGUCCCCGCGGGAGCCGCCGGCGCCUUCUGCUCCCCUGAGAGUCACUUGAGGAGCUCCCUACAAGCAUCUGCAAAGGACACCUUUUCCUUUCUCCCAUGCUGCCUUCCACCCAGGGCCAGACACAGGCAUGGGCAAGCUGGAAAACCACCCUGGUCCCGGACAGAAAGGGGCUCCAAAAAUGAGUCAACACAGCUCAGAGGGAGCUAGAAUCUAUUCCUUUAAUUAAUCAUCAGAAGCAUAGUUUAUUGAAGUCAAGAAGAAUGGAGUGACAUACAUCCGUGAUGGUACAGCUGGCCUAUUACUGGCAGUGAUGUGGAAGGAAGUCACUCAAUGUGACGCAAGACAGAAUGAGUUGGGGCGGGGGGUUGGGCAAAGUAACCACUUAAUUUUCCUGUUAACUGAAUAUUGUUUAUGUGGUGCCAUUAACAGAUAAUGAAUAAGGAACACUUGGUAUCAUUUUUAAUUGAGCCACUUUUCAGAGUAAAACUGCACUCUCUUCCUUUUACUAACUGAGGAACUUCAUCCAGUUAAGCAUUGGAUGUAGCCUAAUGAAAGGGUUCUUAUUCCAACCCCUUCUCCUCCCCACCCCCCAUUACUUUACUUUUAUCAAAGCAAAUGAACACAGAGUCCUGCCUUCAAGUCUACAAGAAACAACAAGCAUUCACAGAGAUGUUAUCAAUGAAAUACUAUAUUUCCAAAACACGUACCAAGAUAAUAGAUUUUACCCUGACCCAUUUCACUGAAACGGAUGACCUUUGUUCUGGGCAGAGUUGAGCUUUACCAUGAGGAUGCAAAAUGGACAGCUCCAUUUAUUUCCUGAACCCACUCUGUUUUGGAAACUUUCUAGGUAUCAUGUUUAAUGUGUGUGGAGAUAAAUGCAACAGCUAAUACAGCUUUACAGACAGCAAAUGUCUGGGAGAGUGGCAGGGGCAGAAGUGACGUAUAGGGGGUGCAUGGGGAUGACCUCUUGAGAGCACCUGUGCACCCCCGGUCAGGCCAUGCUCCCUGUUUAGCUGGCGGGCAGUGGGGCAGGCAGGAACACCAGUGCCGCCCCUGCAAGUGCCAGCCAGGGAGCUGGGCCGCCAGCAAAAGCUUCUGGAAGUGACUGGGGGUUCCGGAAGCAGUGCAGCACAGCCGCUUUUACAGUGAGUGAGAUCGGCUG